UAUUGUAACAACCUACUUUUUCACUUAGCGUUUAGUCAUUUUUUUUCAACCCUAGCUGCUCCUCUCCUAUUUCUCAUCUUUCUCUUAAAGUUUCUUCCUUUCUCUCGAAUUUCACCAUUAUUGUGCUGCCCCAUUUUGCAAAGCCUUUACCUUUAUUUUUCCAGCCACUUUGCUGGUUAUUUUUACCCGUUAAACCAACCCUUUUUACUUCCCUAAAUCCAUCCCUAAGUCACUCAUAUCAGCCCCAAAUUGUUCACUAUCGCCCCCACUCCCUUGUUCAAAUUGGUGUCGGUGCUGAUUUAAACGUCCUAGAUCAACAGUGAUUACGGAUCUCGUUCACACUCGCGUUUCAUAUCAAUACAGUGUAAGUCUAUUUGAUAAUUCAAAUAGGAUUAUGUGGUGUACAACGAUGCUUCACAUGUUGGGCUUCGGUCUGUUUUGAUGCAGGAUUGUAAGUUGGUAGUUAUGCCUUGAGACAGUUUAGGCCACAUGAGUGUAAUUAUCCGACUCAUGAUUUGGAGUUGACAGCUACCGUUUUCGCUCUUAAAAUUUAGAGAGAUUAUUUAUAUGGUGAGAAGUGUAUUCUUUACACGAAUCACCGAAGUCUCAAAUAUCUCAUCACCCUUGUCGAAACCACUUUUUUGAAAACAAAAGUUAGUUGUUCACUUUAAAAACGAAAAUUGGAGUCGCCACCGAUCCUUUUUGAGGUGUGAUCGGCUCACUUUUUAACGAUUUUGGUCUGCAAAAUUUGAGAAAAUAGGUUCAGGAUUCGGUUACGCACGAGGAAGGGAUAAAUUGAUUGAUUGUUUAAUGUCUUGGUGUCGAAAAUUUGAAAAGAUUUUAAAAUACGAUCCUUUUAACUUGAAUAAAUUGAAUUAAAUGAUAAGACACUCUUAUUUCAAAGAAAUAAAGUGUCAGUGUCACACCCAGUGAGUUAGUGCGCAACAUUUUUAAUCUUCAAAAUUAAAUUUAUCUUUUGACUUUUAAAACUCAUGCAUUUUGAGAAGGAUAUUUGGUUAUUUGGGUCAAAUGAAAAAUCAAAACCCAGUAAAUUAGGGUUUAAUUUCCCAAAAUUCCUAAAUAUCGAAUAUUACCUUUAUUUUUAAAAAUCCUUAAUUCGAGGUAGCAAAAUGUCAUAUCCAGUGAGUUAGGAUCCAACAAUUUGAGCUCUCGAGAAUAAGCUUUAUUUGAAAUUUGUACGAUUUUAUUGAAAAAAGAUACUCAGCCACCUAAAUUCAACGAAGAAAAUUGAAUCCCAGUAAGUUAGGGCACAAUUUUCUCGAGAAUCUUUGGAUACCAGGUAUUUUGGAAACUUAUAAAUAAAAUUAUUUUGAUAUUUUAAUAAAAUGUAAUCUUUUAAACAA